rnacentral:rRNA from 1 species
GUGCCAGCAGCCGCGGUAACACGGAGGGUGCAAGCGUUAAUCGGAAUCACUGGGCGUAAAGGGCACGCAGGCGGCCCGUCAAGUGGGAUGUGAAAGCCCCGGGCUCAACCUGGGAAUGGCAUUCCAAACUGGCGGGCUCGAGUCCGGGAGAGGGAGGCAGAAUUCCCCGUGUAGCGGUGAAAUGCGUAGAUAUGGGGAGGAAUACCGGUGGCGAAGGCGGCCUCCUGGCCCGGUACUGACGCUGAGGUGCGAAAGCGUGGGCAGCGAACGGGAUUAGAUACCCGGUAGUCC